rnacentral:lncRNA from 1 species
CACACACACACACACACACACCUCUUUUUCCUGGGAGCAAAAAACAGGUAAGCAUGACACAUCUGCAGCCUGAGUCCCCCCAUCUUCUCCAAGUUAACUCAUUGCUAAGUCCAAGGCCAAAGGGCCACCAUGUGGCAGUCCCGGGAUUUAAAACCAGGCUUUUCUGAUCCUGGUUGCCCCAGAUGAGGAACCCAAUUUAAUUCUAUCCUAAGAUCGGGGGCCAUCUCAUCACAAAGUUAAUUCCAAACUCACCCAUGUCUGGCUCUCCUUGACAGAUAACAACCCUCCCUAAAACUUCAGCGGGACCUCAUAAAUUCUGAUGUUGGAAUCUCGAUUUACUCCCUACCUUGAAAUGUUAAGCCACGUAGCUCAUUAACCUGCUAUCUGCCUUUGUAUUACGCUUGCCAGAACCCUGUUAUAAGUUCCCAAGACACCCCACUUUGUGCUAUAAAACCUUUCUCCUGGAGAGCUGGGAGGAUGUUCUCUAGCCCGGCUUUGGGUGAGACAGUCGCUGGCCAGCUCUCUCUGUGUACACAAUAUAAGCUUGCUUUAAUUUGAUUUAAAAUUGGAAUCAGUGGUCUUUUCUUUGUGUUGUGGUUCAACACAGAGAUGCUGGGGACUGAGAAAUAUAUAUAUAUUUUUUCUUUGGGGUACUGGGAUUGAACUCAGGAGUUUUCUAC